UACGUAGGGUGCGAGCGUUGUCCGGAAUUAUUGGGCGUAAAGAGCUCGUAGGCGGUGUGUCACGUCGGCCGUGAAAACCUGCAGCUUAACUGUGGGCGUGCGGUCGAUACGGGCAUCACUGGAGUUCGGCAGGGGAGACUGGAAUUCCUGGUGUAGCGGUGAAAUGCGCAGAUAUCAGGAGGAACACCGGUGGCGAAGGCGGGUCUCUGGGCCGAUACUGACGCUGAGGAGCGAAAGCGUGGGGAGCAAAUAGG
rnacentral:rRNA from 1 species